rnacentral:rRNA from 1 species
CGAACGGGUGAGUAACGCGUGAGGAACCUGCCUCAAAGAGGGGGACAACAGUUGGAAACGACUGCUAAUACCGCAUAAGCCCACGGCUCGGCAUCGAGCAGAGGGAAAAGGAGUGGUCCGCUUUGAGAUGGCCUCGCGUCCGAUUAGCUAGUUGGUGAGGUAACGGCCCACCAAGGCGACGAUCGGUAGCCGGACUGAGAGGUUGAACGGCCACAUUGGGACUGAGACACGGCCCAG